rnacentral:rRNA from 1 species
CGGGUGAGUAAAGCAUCGGAACGUGCCGUGUAGUGGGGGAUAACGUAGCGAAAGUUACGCUAAUACCGCAUACGCACCGAGGUGGAAAGCAGGGGAUCGCAAGACCUUGCGCUAUACGAGCGGCCGAUGUCAGAUUAGCUAGUUGGUAGGGUAAAGGCCUACCAAGGCGACGAUCUGUAGCGGGUCUGAGAGGAUGAUCCGCCACACUGGGACUGAGACACGGCCCAGACUCCUACGGGAGGCAGCAGUGGG